rnacentral:rRNA from 1 species
UACGGAGGAUGCAAGCGUUAUCCGGAAUGAUUGGGCGUAAAGCGUCCGCAGGUGGCUAUGUAAGUCUGCUGUUAAAGAGUGAGGCUCAACCACAUAAGAGCAGUGGAAACUACAUGGCUAGAGUGCGUUCGGGGCAGAGGGAAUUCCUGGUGUAGCGGUGAAAUGCGUAGAUAUCAGGAAGAACACCGGUGGCGAAAGCGCUCUGCUAGGCCGCAACUGACACUGAGGGACGAAAGCUAGGGGAGCGAAUGGG